rfam:Solenopsis invicta Si_gnG.contig83004, whole genome shotgun sequence.
GAAAAGGUUUUUUUCGAAACCAUUGCCACUCUGAUAGAAAAUUUGU